GCAGACACAUUCCAGCCAAUCAGCAGCAGACCCUCCCUCCCAGACCCUCCCACCUCCUGGACAGCUCAUUGAAUGAAGCUUCACAAUUGUAAAAUGGAUGCUGUCCAGGAGGUGGGAGGGUCUGGGAGGGAGGGUCUGCUGCUGAUUGGCUGGAAUGUGUCUG
rnacentral:miRNA from 1 species